GACAGCCCUCGUCUCGCCCACGUGCUGUUAUUUUCAGCAGUAAAUGUACACAACUACGCACGUGACAUUAAAUUUGUCGUAAGCGUCCGUUUUUUGACAAUUUAGUAGGAACCAAAAGUCUUGUCAAUUACUAUUCUCUCCCUUUAAACGAUACUUGAUUAUGAAAUGCCUCCUCGGGUAUAUGCACUUCUGACGUUGUUAUGAAGGACGCAAUUUUUGGGAAAAAAAGCCAUUGUACCGGUAAGAGAGGAGUUCGUGUAAAUUGUUCCGGACAUUACAUGUAUUAAGUACGUGAAUGGAACCAUCGACAUAUCAUAAGUUAGCUUGACAUAAGAUUCUUCAUAAUUAUAACAAGUCAUACACAGACGGUCAGGCAAUGCGUGUUCCUACUGGCUGUUAUGGGUAGCAAUUGACGCAUUAGGCCCAAAUUCUCUACAGGUAACAUUGGGUAUGGGGAUUUGUCACUAAACUGUAUUUCGUACGGGAAUGAAACCAACGACCAAUGGGUCUGUAGAUCUCGGCACAAAAUAUUUUGUCAAACUGGACCGAGCAAAUAAUGUUGUUGCAACAUGUCCAUUCAACAUGUCCAUACACCAUGUCCAUACAGCAACCCCAUGCAUGUUCUGUGGUAGAAAGUAAUUACAUCCAUGGUGGUUUUUUUUUUGUUUUAUCGAUUAAUAUAUUGUAAUAUCUUAAUGUACACGUAUCAUUUAAAAGCUGUUUCAUUUAAAUAUGAAUGCUAUAAUUAAUUCAUUGUAACUGCUUGCAUAUAUUCAUCAAAACAUGUUCUUUUUUUCGGAUUUCAUUGCUUGUGUUGAAACCUUUAGACUUAUUUUAUUUCAUGAAGUUGGGUAACUCUGGAUUGACUUUUGUUGGAUACAGACACCUGAUGAUUUUCAUGCUCUCUACAGUGCCUAGAGUUUAGGGUAUCUGAUUCUCAAACCAGGAUUAGUCCGUUACAGCCCUUAAGGAGGCACUACAAUAUUUGCAAUAAACCACCGGCACGAGUUAGCUAAAUAUUGCUUUAAUUAACAACUAUUCUUGUGGGGGCAAAGUGAGGCCCACAUUUAAUCCCAACACUGCUUAAAUUAACAGAUAUUUCAGUGGAGACAAAGUGAGGCCCACAUUUCAUCCAAAUAUUGCUUAAACUACCAGCUUAUUAAUUGUGGGCAAAGUAAGGCCCACAAUUUAUACAAAUUUUGCUUAAAGUAACAUCUAUUUCAGUAGGGACAAAGUGAGUUCCAUAUUUUUCCAAAUUUUGUUCAAAUUAACUAGCAAAUUUAAUGGCACAACGUUAGGCCCACACUUUUACCAAGUAUUGCUUUAAUUAACUAGCUAACUUAAUGGGUUAAUGUAACUACUUAUUUAAUGGGACAAAAUAAGGCUCAUCUAUCUCACGUUCUUUUAAAUUCUGUGUUAACAACUUAAAUCCAAAUAACUUCUCCACGUUGACUUUUUUUCCUUAGGAGAAGUUGAUAUUAGCUUGCUGAGAAUAAAUGGUUUGUAUUGUAUGGACAAAAUAACUUCAAAAAUAUAUCUUUAUUAAAUGAUUUUGAAAUAUCUGACGUGUACAUAAUUAUUCUGUUUUAUUAUUUUAUUGUCAAUAUUCUCCAAACCAAUUUCAGAUAUCCAAACAUAUGUUAGAUAUCUAUGAAUUUAAAUGAUGUUCUGUCAUCUUUUUUAUAUCUAUUUCAUAUUCACAAACAGAGUAACAUAUUGUAUAUAAGUUCUUGUUUUGUAUGUUUCAACAUCACACUAUAAGUUAACACUUCAGCGUGGCAAGUUUCAUUUGAUUACUAGUAUCGAAACAACCAGGAGUAACAAUGAAAUCUUCAAUGCUCAUAUGUUUAGCGAUGGGUGUUUGUUUUCUGGGGACACUGAUGGUUGUGUCGGCUGAUCCACCAUGUUUAACUUAUGAUGAUUUCAACGCUACCAUGACAGAGAUACUAAACAAACUCUGUACUUUGGAGGAAUAUCUCUUAGAAGAGGGCAUUAUGGUUGUCCCUAAAAAGACUGGACAAGGUAGAAAAUGAAAAUGAUGCAGUGGAUACAAAUACACACGUACCCGAAAAGAACAAAUCAGAAAUGUACUUGAUUGUUUGAUUUCAAUAAAGAGAAUUUCAAAAUUUUA